rnacentral:rRNA from 1 species
GAAGCGUGCGAUUGGAUUGCACGUCUAAGCAGUAAGGCUGAGUAUUAGGCAAAUCCGGUACUCAUUAAGGCUGAGCUGUGAUGGGGAGAAGACAUUGUGUCUUCGAGUCGUUGAUUUCACACUGCCGAGAAAAGCCUCUAGAUAGAAAAUAGGUGCCCGUACCGCAAACCGACACAGGUAGUCAAGAUGAGAAUUCUAAGGUGAGCGAGCGAACUCUCGUUAAGGAACUCGGCAAAAUGACCCCGUAACUUCGGGAGAAGGGGUGCUCUUUAGGGUUAACGCCCAGAAGAGCCGCAGUGAAUAGGCCCAAGCGACUGUUUAUCAAAAACACAGGUCUCUGCUAAACCGUAAGGUGAUGUAUAGGGGCUGACGCCUGCCCGGUGCUGGAAGGUUAAGAGGAGUGGUUAGCUUCUGCGAAGCUACGAAUCGAAGCCCCAGUAAACGGCGGCCGUAACUAUAACGGUCCUAAGGUAGCGAAAUUCCUUGUCGGGUAAGUUCCGACCCGCACGAAAGGCGUAACGAUUUGGGCACUGUCUCAACGAGAGACUCGGUGAAAUCAUAGUACCUGUGAAGAUGCAGGUUACCCGCGACAGGACGGAAAGACCCCGUGGAGCUUUACUGUAGCCUGAUAUUGAAAUUCGGCACAGCUUGUACAGGAUAGGUAGGAGCCUUUGAAACGUGAGCGCUAGCUUACGUGGAGGCGCUGGUGGGAUACUACCCUAGCUGUGUUGGCUUUCUAACCCGCACCACUUAUCGUGGUGGGAGACAGUGUCAGGCGGGCAGUUUGACUGGGGCGGUCGCCUCCUAAAAGGUAACGGAGGCGCUCAAAGGUUCCCUCAGAAUGGUUGGAAAUCAUUCAUAGAGUGUAAAGGCAUAAGGGAGCUUGACUGCGAGACCUACAAGUCGAGCAGGGUCGAAAGACGGACUUAGUGAUCCGGUGGUUCCGCAUGGAAGGGCCAUCGCUCAACGGAUAAAAGCUACCCCGGGGAUAACAGGCUUAUCUCCCCCAAGAGUUCACAUCGACGGGGAGGUUUGGCACCUCGAUGU